rnacentral:rRNA from 1 species
UGGGAACGUACCUUUCGGUUCGGGAUAACCCAGGGAAACUUGGGCUAAUACCGGAUACGUCCUUAGGGAGAAAGAUUGAUUUGCCGAGAGAUCGGCCCGCGUCUGAUUAGCUAGUUGGUGGGGUAAGAGCCUACCAAGGCGACGAUCGGUAGCUGGUCUGAGAGGAUGAUCAGCCACACUGGAACUGAGACACGGUCCAGACUCCUACGGGAGACAG